GACGAACGCUGGCGGCGUGCUUAACACAUGCAAGUCGAACGGAAAGGCCCUGCUUUUGUGGGGUGCUCGAGUGGCGAACGGGUGAGUAACACGUGAGUAACCUGCCCUUGACUUUGGGAUAACUUCAGGAAACUGGGGCUAAUACCGGAUAGGAGCUCCUGCUGCAUGGUGGGGGUUGGAAAGUUUCGGCGGUUGGGGAUGGACUCGCGGCUUAUCAGCUUGUUGGGGGGGUAGUGGCUUACCAAGGCUUUGACGGGUAGCCGGCCUGGGAGGGUGACCGGCCACAUUGGGACUGAGAUACGGCCCAGACUGCUACGGGAGGCAGCAGUGGGGAAUAUUGCACAAUGGGCGGAAGCCUGAUGCAGCAACGCCGCGUGCGGGAUGACGGCCUUCGGGUUGUAAACCGCUUUCGCCUGUGACGAAGCGUGAGUGACGGUAAUGGGUAAAGAAGCACCGGCUAACUACGUG
rnacentral:rRNA from 1 species